CUAUACAUGCAGUCGAGCGAACUGAUUAGAAGCUUGCUUCUAUGACGUUAGCGGCGGACGGGUGAGUAACACGUGGGCAACCUGCCUGUAAGACUGGGAUAACUUCGGGAAACCGAAGCUAAUACCGGAUAGGAUCUUCUCCUUCAUGGGAGAUGAUUGAAAGAUGGUUUCGGCUAUCACUUACAGAUGGGCCCGCGGUGCAUUAGCUAGUUGGUGAGGUAACGGCUCACCAAGGCAACGAUGCAUAGCCGACCUGAGAGGGUGAUCGGCCACACUGGGACUGAGACACGGCCCAGACUCCUACGGGAGGCAGCAGUAGGGAAUCUUCCGCAAUGGACGAAAGUCUGACGGAGCAACGCCGCGUGAGUGAUGAAGGCUUUCGGGUCGUAAAACUCUGUUGUUAGGGAAGAACAAGUACGAGAGUAACUGCUCGUACCUUGACGGUACCUAACCAGAAAGCCACGGCUAACUACGUGCCAGCAGCCGCGGUAAUACGUAGGUGGCAAGCGUUAUCCGGAAUUAUUGGGCGUAAAGCGCGCGCAGGCGGUUUCUUAAGUCUGAUGUGAAAGCCCACGGCUCAACCGUGGAGGGUCAUUGGAAACUGGGGAACUUGAGUGCAGAAGAGAAAAGCGGAAUUCCACGUGUAGCGGUGAAAUGCGUAGAGAUGUGGAGGAACACCAGUGGCGAAGGCGGCUUUUUGGUCUGUAACUGACGCUGAGGCGCGAAAGCGUGGGGA
rnacentral:rRNA from 2 species